rnacentral:miRNA from 15 species
AAGAAGCAGGAAGCUUUUCCUUUGCGGGGAAUGUUGUCUGGGUCGAGGAAUCUACCAAACUAGAGAGAUAGAUGGAUAGAUCUGCUAUCUUCUUUUCCCUUCUUUUACGUUUGGUGAUCUCGGACCAGGCUUCAUUCCCCCCAAUCAUAGCUUCCGUCU